UACGGGGGGGGCAAGCGUUGUUCGGAAUUACUGGGCGUAAAGGGCUCGUAGGGGGCCAACUAAGUCAGACGUGAAAUCCCUCAGCUUAACUGGGGAACUGCGUCUGAUACUGGAUGGCUUGAGUGUAGGAGAGGAAUGCGGAAUUCCAGGUGUAGCGGUGAAAUGCGUAGAUAUCUGGAGGAACACCGGUGGCGAAGGCGGCAUUCUGGACUACAACUGACACUGAGGAACGAAAGCCAGGGGAGCAAACGGG
rnacentral:rRNA from 1 species